rnacentral:rRNA from 1 species
GACGAACGCUGGCGGCGUGCUUAACACAUGCAAGUCGAACGGAAAGGCCCUGCUUUUGUGGGGUGCUCGAGUGGCGAACGGGUGAGUAACACGUGAGUAACCUGCCCUUGACUUUGGGAUAACUUCAGGAAACUGGGGCUCAUACCGGAUAGGAGCUCCUGCUGCAUGGUGGGGGUUGGAAAGUUUCGGCGGUUGGGGAUGGACUCGCGGCUUAUCAGCUUGUUGGUGGGGUAGUGGCUUACCAAGGCUUUGACGGGUAGCCGGCCUGAGAGGGUGACCGGCCACAUGGGGACUGAGAUACGGCCCAGACUACUACGGGAGGCAGAAGUGGGGAAUAUUGCACAAUGGGCGGAAGCCGGAUGCAGCAACGCCGCGUGCGGGAUGACGGCCUUCGGGUUGUAAACCGCUUUCGCCUGUGACGAAGCGUGAGUGACGGUAAUGGGUAAAGAAGCACCGGCUAACUACGUG